rnacentral:lncRNA from 1 species
GAUUAUAAGUUCUGAGGCACUUGGAUCCUAUUUCUUGAGGGAGGCAGAGACCAAAACCUUUGAAAUAUGAGACCCACUAAACGAGCACAGAAUAGAGUUUGGUCUGUCCCUGGAUUCCAAAGGAUAGAAGCAACCCCUGAGACUUGUGGUUGAGUUGUGCCCUCAUCCAUCAGCUGUGGACUCCAAUGGUGAAGUAAUGUUCU